rnacentral:rRNA from 1 species
UACAGAGGUCUCAACCGUUGUUCGGAUUUAUUGGGCGUAAAGGGUGCGUAGGCGGUUGCGCAAGUCAGGUGUGAAAUCUCGGGGCUCAACCUCGAAACUGCACUUGAUACUGCGUGACUAGAGUACUGGAGGGGAGACUGGAAUUUACGGUGUAGCAGUGAAAUGCGUAGAUAUCGUAAGGAAGACCAGUGGCGAAGGCGAGUCUCUGGACAGUUACUGACGCUGAGGCACGAAGGCUAGGGGAGCAAACGGG